rnacentral:rRNA from 1 species
AUGGAAGUCAUUGAUGCGCGCGCGCGGGAGCUGGGGAUCGACCUCGACUCCGUCGACGUCGACUCCAUCACCCUCCCGCCCGGCGAGGACUUCGACAUCCUCAGCGACGACGAGGAUUUACUUCAGAAUGAAGACAUUCCAGAGCUCGAGAUAGGUUUUGCAAACAUUAUUGUGGUGGACAAUCUGCCGGUUGUUCCCCGAGAGAAGUACGAGAAGCUGGAGAAUGAAGGUGGGCUUUGGAUGCCUACGGACCCAGAGACCAAGAAGACCCAGGGCUACUGCUUCAUUGAGUUCAAUACUCCGCAGGAAGCUGAGUUUGCUAUGGAAAAAACACGUGGCUACAAACUGGACAAAUCUCACAUAUUUGCUGUUAAUAUGUUUGAUGACUUUGAGAAGUACAUGAAAGUUCCUGAUGAGUGGGCGCCUGCUGAAAUCAAGUCAUACACUCCUGGAGAAAAUCUUCUGAAGUUGCUGACUGAUGAUAAGGCCAGAGAUCAGUUCGUGAUACGUGCUGGUACGUUCACGGAAGUGUACUGGAAUGACGCUAGACGGGCAAUGCCUGAGCUUGUGUACCAGAAGCAGUACUGGACGGAUAGCUAUAUUCAAUGGUCCCCUCUUGGAACACACUUGGCGACCGUGCAUAGGCAGGGCGCGCAGGUGUGGGGUGGUGAUGACAAAUUUGUUCGUCUAAUGCGCUUUGCUCAUCCACAGUUGAAACUCAUCGAUUUCUCUCCCGGUGAGAAAUAUUUGAUCACUUACAGCAGCCAUGAGCCCAGCAACCCCAGAGAUACACAUAGGGUUGUACUAAAUAUCUUUGAUGUACGAACUGGAAAAGUAAUGUGGGAGUUCAAGGGAAGUGCUGAUGAUUUCACUACUGGUGGAAAUAUGGGUGUCUCUGGUGUUUCAUGGCCUAUCUUCAGGUGGGGUGGUGGAAGAGAUGAUAAGUAUUUUGCUAGGCUUGGAAAGAAUGUUAUAUCUGUCUAUGAUACCGAGACGUUCGCUCUUAUUGAUAAGAAGUCCUUGAAGGUAGAAAAUGUGGUUGACUUCAGUUGGUCUCCCACUGAUCCUAUCAUAUCACUCUUUGUGCCUGAAUUGGGUGGUGGAAAUCAGCCUGCCAGGGUCAGUCUUGUGCCAAUUCCGGGUAAAGAGGAGAUUCGGCAGAAAAACCUUUUCAGUGUUAGCGACUGCAAAAUGUACUGGCAAAACAAUGGAGAAUAUCUGGCUCUCCAGGUAGAUAGGUACACAAAAACAAAGAAGAACAUCCCAAUUGAGGUCUUUGAAUUGGACAACAAGAAUGACAAGAUAAUUGCCUUUGCAUGGGAGCCUAAAGGUCGCCGCUUUGCUGUUAUUCAUGGUGAUGGGCCUAAGCCUGAUAUAAGUUUCUACAUCAUGAAAGCAGUCAACAAUAAUGUUAGUCGUGUGUCCAAGCUCACCACACUCAAGGGCAAGCAGUCCAAUGCAUUGUUCUGGUCUCCUGCUGGCCGUUUCAUUGUUCUGGCAGGGCUGAUGGGUUUCAAUGGCCAGCUGGAGUUCUUCAACGUUGAUGAUCUUGAGCCCAUGGCGACAGGAGAACAUUUUAUGGCGACUGACAUCAUGUGGGAUCCUACUGGAAGAUAUCUCGCAACUGCAGUUACCUCGGUUCAUGAGAUGGAAAAUGGUUUCCAAAUCUGGUCCUUCAAUGGCAAGCAAAUUUACAACGUCUCAAAGGAUCACUUCUAUCAGUUCCAAUGGCGCCCAAGGCCACCGUCGCUACUUACUCCCGAGAAGGAGGAGGACAUCUCAAAGAACCUCAAGCGGUACAGCAAGAAGUACGAACACGAGGAUCAGGACGUGCACCACCUUUUGGACGAGGAGGAGCGCAAGAGACGGAUGCGGCUUCAAGAGGUGUGGGAAGCAUGGGUCGCCAAGUGGAAGCAGCUGCACGAGGAGGAGCGAGCAUUCAGGAUGCAGCUCAGAGGCGCGGAGGACAGCGACAAGGAAGAAGAGGCUGAAUACAAGGAGAUUGAGGCGGAGGAGCUGGUUGAUGUCACAGAAAAAACCGUUGCCUUUGACCUGGAUCAGGAGUGA